GCACUGUCGAUUUCCGUUUAAAUUAGGAAAGUUAGGAAAACCCUAAUUUCCCAGAGGUCCCGGAUAUCUGUUAAACCACACGCCAAGCAAUCAGAACACGCAAUUAAAGACGAAAAGAAAUAAGAAAUCGUAAAAGAGAGCAAAAGGAGUUUUAUUCCGAAUCCGCGUAUGAGCGUUACAACAAGGUAGAAGCCUUGGCUACGAGAGCUGUCGGCGAGAUUCCUAGUUCUAACAACCUAAGACUGCAAAACCUAGUUGAGUCGCAGCUCGAAAUAAC
rnacentral:lncRNA from 1 species